AUUGAACGCUGGCGGCAGGCCUAACACAUGCAAGUCGAGCGGAUGAAGGGAGCUUGCUCCUGGAUUCAGCGGCGGACGGGUGAGUAAUGCCUAGGAAUCUGCCUGGCAGUGGGGGAUAACGUCCGGAAACGGGCGCUAAUACCGCAUACGUCCUGAGGGAGAAAGUGGGGGAUCUUCGGACCUCACGCUAUCAGAUGAGCCUAGGUCGGAUUAGCUAGUUGGUGGGGUAAAGGCCUACCAAGGCGACGAUCCGUAACUGGUCUGAGAGGAUGAUCAGUCACACUGGAACUGAGACACGGUCCAGACUCCUACGGGAGGCAGCAGUGGGGAAUAUUGGACAAUGGGGGAAAGCCUGAUCCAGCCAUGCCGCGUGUGUGAAGAAGGUCUUCGGAUUGUAAAGCACUUUAAGUUGGGAGGAAGGGCAGUAAGUUAAUACCUUGCUGUUUUGACGUUACCAACAGAAUAAGCACCGGCUAACUUCGUG
rnacentral:rRNA from 1 species